ACCUUGAGAGAAACAAGAAACUGAAAGUACUAAACUACUUUGCUUAUUUAAAAAAAUCUUAAGCUUGCGUUUUAGGUCUAGGACUAGGCGGCCCGCAUCUCAGCCCCAAGCCACCAGGCAAGGUGGGCUCUCUAAAGGCUCGGGGGCGAAGCCUGAGGCCAGGAGUGGACACCUGUCUGAGGCGCCAGCACCUCCCAGGGACUCGAAGCAUUGGCUCGUCUCGGCCUCUGCUCUUCCGCUGUGCCCGGCUAGCCCCGGUACUCUAGGGCUCGGCUGACGCUUGUCUCAGGCUCGGCUCUCUUCGGCUGAGCUCGGCCAGUUCUCGGCUCUCUUCGGCUUCCUUCGAACGACUCUCGUCUCGGCUUCCUCCAGCCGGCUCUCGUCCUCGGGCUCGGCUCUCUUCGGCUAAACUCGGCCCGCUCUCCCCUUUAGGGCUCGGCUCUUUUCGGCUGAGCUCGGCCGCGGCCCCGGAAGGGCGCCAGUGGAGCCGGGCCUACCGGCUCGCCCGACGGCCAUGGCACCACUACUGGAGUAUGAGCGGCAGCUAGUGCUGGAGCUGCUCGGCACGGACCGGCUGGCCGUGUGCGCCCGCGUGCUCGGCGCGGACCGACUCCUCUACCACUUCCUCCGGCUGCACUGCCGCCCAGCAUGCCUGGUGCUGGUGCUCAACACUCAGCCGGCCGAGGAGCUGCGGCGCCGUCACCUCGGCUGCGUCGGGGCCUCCUGAGCGGACGCGAGGCCUCUGAGGGCGAGGCCGGGCCUGACGCGGGCGGGAGGGCGUUGAAUGGGGGUCCCUGAGGCAGAUGCAGGUCCCUGACAGGGCGCGUGGACACAGAUGGGGUAGGAGGGUCCCGGGGAGGGUGCAGGUCCCUGACGCUGAGAGGGGCGGAGGAGACCUGGGAGGGUCAUGGGAGUCAUUUGAGGAGGGAAGCCGGGAGAAAGGGAGGUCCCUGAAAGGGAUGGGGUUGUCUGCAGGUGGGUGUGGGUAGGAAUAGCGAGGGAAUCCCAGAGCCGGGUAUUCAGGGCUCGCUGGGGUCAGAGGGAUAGGGUCUGUGAAACGGCACGGUGAUGGGGAUGGAGGAACCUCUGGGGGUAAUGGGGACGUGUGAAAGGAGCCGCAGAGGCUGGGGCGAGCCCUCCAGGAAUAUUUUAUCAAUCAGCUGAAGAUAGAAGGAACACCUCCCACGCCAUGUAACAAAUGAAAUCCCAAGUAACAGUCGCUAUGAGGGUUACACACAAGGUGGUGUGAUAUUUGCAACUAGUCGAAUAAUCGUGGUUGAUUUCUUGACUGAUAGAAUUCCUUCAGAUUUAAUUACUGUGAUAGUGCUUCAAAACACUACACUGUAUUUGCUGUUUAUUUGCUCCUCUCACUUAUGAGAUAAUAAGCUUCGUAAGUACAAGGAACAACUUACUCAUCCUGGACGAAGUAACUGGUCCAUAGCAGGCAUCUUGGUGUACAGAGCUCACAGAAUCAUCAAGUCCUGUCAAGAAGCAUUCAUCUUGUGCCUGUUCUGCCAGAAAAAUGAAACGUGGCUUCAUUAAAGCUUUCACAGACAAUGCUGUCGCCUUUGACACUGGUUUUUGUCAUGUGGAAAGAAUGAUGAGAAAUCUCUUCGUAAGGAAGUUGUAUCUGUGGCCAAGCUAAACAGCAUUAUGUGACAGACAUCUGUUCCAUGUAGCAGUAAACUCAUUUUUAGAACAGCACAAACCUGAAGUCCUAGAAAUUCAUGUCUCUAUGACACCAGCCAUGCUUGCUAUACAGACUGCCAUACUGGACAUCUUAAAUGCAUGUUUGAAGGAACUGAAGUGCUGUAACUUGUCACUUGACGUUGAAUAUUUAUCUUUAGAAAACACUAUUGGAAAAUCCUUUGACAAGAUAUUCUGUUUCUUUUCCCUUUUAAGCAUAGCUUGUCCUGUUAAAACCGUAGAGAAUGCAAGUUAAUUUAGUAUUGCCAUGUUCUUAAUAGGAAUUUGCUGUUAUUUUAAAAUUAAAUUGGAAGUGAUUUAAAGUAUAGCUUCUUUGGUUUAGUGGAAAGUAAUUUAUAGUGACAUACAUGGAUUGGCAUAUCCGCAUGACUCUAAUUUUUGCAGUUAUACAGUGAUUAUCUCUCAUUUUAAGUAUAAUGAAGAAAAAGAUAAGUACCUUUUUGCUCUGAAGCAACCUUUGGAUAUCUUCAGGUAGAAGAGUUUUACAUAAGUGCAUUUGUAAUUUAUGAUCUCUUGUUUCGAGUAAAAAUAAUUUGGAUGAGUUUUCACUAUUGAGGAAUGUGAAACUUGCUCUGUCCUAAAAUUACAUUCCGAACUGAGAAAAUGGUAAGACUUUAGUUCAAGGAAUUUUUAUUCUGAUUUUUUUCAUCAUAGAUUAAUAUUAAUACAGACACAUAAAUGUCUAAGAUUGAAUUAUAGAUCCUGAAAAUGCUGACUUUUUAAAAAUUCCAGGCAACUUACUUUAGAUAUUUUGGUAGAACAAGUUCCUGCCUUUUUAAACUCUGAAUCGACCCUUUGUGGCUGGAAGAGGAAAAAUGUAACUCCUCAUUUCUCUGAUUCAUCCAAAAAUUAUUUUAUUGUGGAAUAAUGAUACAUAAGACUAAUUUCAUGUGUUUUGUUCCUCUACUCUUAAAGCUUAGGGCAUAGUGAAACCAAAAAAACCUCCACAUCUUCACAUUCUUUUAAUAGACUGUAUAUUCCUAGAAAAACAAAAUGUAGCCUAGUAUGUUUUGCACUAAAUUUCUGUUUAUCAUCCCCUGGCUAGUAAAAAUCAAAGUUACUUUUAGUAACCAAAUCUACAUACAACUUGGGUCUUGUUAGAAAAUUUAAUUUUUGUAGAUGAUUUUAUAAAACAAGCAUGCAAAUAUAUGUCCCAGUAUAUCUAAGACAGCCUUGGUAUCUGCCUAUUGUCCUGGAGUAAUCAUUAGUAGUAGCAUUUCAUUUUCACUAGAGUUGUGUUUUGAGCAAUAAAUCUUCUAAGUAUUAUUCCUGCUCAGUAUUAAAUUUGUUAGAUAAGAUGCCAUGUAGUGAUACUGCUUCCCUAUCAUGUUGUGUAUCAUCUUUUUAAAUUACAGAAUCAGUUUGUGAAGGACAGGAAGUGUGUGUGUGUGUGUGUGUGUGUUUGUACACCCACAUAACCCACAUAGUAUAUACAAAAAGCUGUUCUGUGUUUUAGGCAACUUUUUAGGAUCUUAAAAGUUAUUCAAACUUAGCCCACUGUUAAUUUAACAAAUAUCUUCCCAUCUAUGAAGCACAGUGGUAAAAAAAUUAACAAAUAUUUUAUGCCACCAAAUUAAGAUACAUUGUUGUUUAAUUUGAUACAUUGUUGUUUAAUUUGAUGCCACAUUGUUUCCCUGGUUUAUGCCUUCAGCUUCAUCAUCUCUCUGACUGGAUCCCACAUCUUUAUCUAUCCAGGAUAAGAUCUCAGCCCACCUUGGCAGAAAUUGAGUGUUUCUGAGCUACCUGCUUUGACUUUUCAUAAAAACAAACAAUUGAUUAUCUGAUUCUUAUCAGGUCUUUUCUCUCCUGACCAAUAAAGUAAAUGUAGAUAAUUAUGAAUUGACUAUCUGAUCAUAAAGACUUUAGUGAUAAGAUACUCUGUUUCAUUUUUGAAAAAUUAAACAUAUUAUUAGAAUCUUAGGAACUGAAAUUUUCUGUCCACCUCCUUGGGAGAUAAUGUUUUGGAUUUUUUGUAUGUGUGUGACAAAAUAUACGUGAACAUAAAAUUUACUAUUUUAACCAUUUUUCGGUACACAGGGAUAAUGUUUAUUGAGACUAUAGUGUUAAUAAUAGCUAUGUAGAACAUAUUUUUAGCAAUAUUAAAUUUUACCCUUAUUUUAGACAAUCCACCAUUAUCUGGAUCCUUUGUGGCACCAGCUUGGAGCCAAGACUAAAUCCUUGGUUCAGGAUUUGAAGAUACUACGAACUUUGCUGCAGUAUCUUUCUCAGUAUGAUUGUAUCACAUUUCUUAAACUUCUGGAAUCUCUGAGAGCAGCAGAAAAGGCUUUUGGUCAGAAUUCAGGUUGACUGUUUCUGGACUCCUGCACCUCGAUGUUUCUAAAUGAUCGAGCAAGGGUUUAUCAUGUUCCAGAUGCCAAAAUGAGCAGGAAAGGAAAAAUGUCUGAAAAAAUGGAGUUUAAAGAAGGGCAGGGUAUGUCAUAGGCUUAAGUCUUUAAAUGUGUCUUUUAUUUCAGUGAUUGGUUGGAAGUAGUUAACAAGUUAAUGUGUGAUUUUAAGUCUCCUUCAGCCAUCAGAAAAUGUAUGCCGGUAUGAUAAAUGUAUGUUGUAUGUAAUUCUGUUAAAAGUAUUAACAUGACAAGUCUUAGAAUCUGUUGCUGGGGAUUCUGGAUAACAAAGGCCAAGUAUCAAUCAAGAACAUUCUUACUUCUACUUAAGAACUAGAUUGAUUUUUUGUAACUUUAGAGUAAUAAUUGCCACUUCUGUCACUUAAAGUCUUAAUGGAAUAUUUUAACAUCCCUCUGGGCUUUUAAAAGACAUAAAUAUACUAGAAUGAGACAAAUACGGAUUUUAUUCCGACACUCAUCUAGUAGAUAUAAUGAAUAUUGUUUUUUUAAGGUAUGGGAGAGGGCAAAUGCUUACUUUCUGCUUAGUUCAAAGGUCUAGUUCAAAAGUUAAAUAUUUUAGGGAUGUGUUUGAGUACUUUACUAACAGAAAUAAAAGUUUGUUGUCUACUUCUAUUGCAUGUUCAGGGUUGUGAAAAUCAUGAUGAUUAUAGAAAUAAUCAAUGCUAUUAUUCUGUUCUGGUUCCUUUAUCUGUAUAGCAGCUUAUACAUAGUGUCACAGUUGACAGUUAACAUAGAAUAAUCUAGUAUUAGUAACCAUGCAUAUAACUUUCUAUUGAGACAUUAUAAAGCUUGUAUUAAUGUUUGUUUGAAGCAUCUUUCCUUUAGACCAUAACUAGACAAUUUUCAGGAAAAUAGAUUGUCUAGCAUUAUGAAGGCCCCACAAAGGAAAGGGAUAAGAGAAUGAUGCUUGAGUUAUCUCUUGGACAGAGGAAACUUGACCCUGCCCUCCCAACUCCCUGCCUGCCUGUGCCUCACCUGAAAACUGCCUGUGUCCUUGGAUCCCCACCCUCUGGAUAUAAAAUAGUUUGCCUCUAAACUUUUGUAGUUAAUUCUUGUAUUAAAUUCCUUUGACAUCUAAUGUGAGUUUUGUGUUCCUGGCUGCACCCUGACUAAUAUAAACACCUUUGCAAAAAAGCACAUCAAGGUUGACAUCACUAAAGGUGUGCCUAUGUUUCACUGUUUGAAUGUUCUAUGAAUGUUCUAACAUUUAUUUAAUCAUUUGGCUAUUGAUGAACAUUUAACUUCUUUCCAAGUUUUUUGCUACCACAAUUUGUGCUGUAAUGAAUAUAUCUGUAUAUAUAUGUAUUUCUAUAGGACAGAGUAAAAUUGCUAGGAGUAAUAUUGCUAGGUCAAAAAAUGGGGUAUAUAUUUAAAAAAUUUAAGUUUAAUUGCCAAAUUGCCCCCAAAAUGUGUCACAAUCUAUACUUUCAACAACUCUGUGCCUUAAGAGUGCCUAUUUCCCUACCCACUGGGCAACUCUUUGUCAAUAACAUAGUGAAAAAUGUUUUCUUGCUUUCAUUUGCAUCACUUUACAUUCUGAAUGAGAUUAACUAUCCUCUCAUAUACCUACUGGCCACUUGCAUUUCUCUUGCUGUGAACUGCCUUGUAACUGGUUUUAUUUUUUGCUUUAUAUCAUGACCUUUAUCUAGAACAAUAAUAAAAAGCAACAUCGAUCAGGACUGCACCAUAA